rnacentral:rRNA from 1 species
AGCAGCCGCGGUAAUUCCAGCUCCAAUAGCGUAUAUUAAAGUUGUUGCAGUUAAAAAGCUCGUAGUUGAAUUUCGAGAUCAAAUUGUUGGUCGUGCCUUGGUACGCACUGGCGUUAUUGGUUUCUCCCUUCUGAAGAACCAAGAUGUCAUUAAUUUGGUGUCUUGGGGAAUCAGGACUGUUACUUUGAAAAAAUUAGAGUGUUUAAAGCAGGCUCGCGCUUGAAUACAUUAGCAUGGAAUAAUGAAAUAGGACGUUUGAUUCUAUUUUGUUGGUUUCUAGGAUCGACGUAAUGAUUAAUAGGGAUAGUUGGGGGCAUUAGUAUUCAAUUGUCAGAGGUGAAAUUCUUGGAUUUAUUGAAGACUAACUACUGCGAAAGCAUUUGCCAAGGAUGUUUUCAUUAAUCAAGAACGAAAGUUAGGGGAUCGAAGACGAUCAGAUACCGUCGUAGUCUUAACCAUAAACUAUGCCGACUAGGGAUCGGAUGAUGUUAAUUUUUAAUGACUCAUUCGGCGCCUUAAC